GCAAACUUGGUCAUUUAGAGGAAGUAAAAGUCGUAACAAGGUUUCCGUAGGUGAACCUGCGGAAGGAUCAUUAUUGAACAAAACGCGGAGGGCGCUUCGGCGCCCCCCUCGUCCCCACUCCUUGCUUAUGCGUACCUUUUGUUUUGCUUCCUCGGCGGGGACGCUCGCCGGCGGAUAGCCCAUUUCAAACCCUUUGCAGUUGCAAUCACUUCUGAUGUGAAAUUUGAAUAAAUCACAACUUUCAACAACGGAUCUCUUGGUUCUGGCAUCGAUGAAGAACGCAGC
rnacentral:misc_RNA from 1 species